rnacentral:rRNA from 1 species
UGAGCAAUCUGCCCUUCUCUUCGGAAUAAGCGUUGGAAACGACGUCUAAUGACGAAUACGACCUCCUUUCGCAUGAUUGGAGGUGGAAAGCUCCGGCGGAGAAGGAUGAGCUCGCGGCCUAUCAGCUAGUUGGUGUGGGUAACGCCCACCAAGGCGACGACGGGUAGCCGGCCUGAGGAGGGUGACCGGCCACACUGGGACUGAGACACGGCCCAGACCUCCGUACGGGAGGCAGCAGG